rnacentral:rRNA from 1 species
AUUGAACGCUGGCGGCAGGCCUAAUACAUGCAAGUCGAGCGAGCGGCGGACGGGUGAGUAAUGUCUGGGAAACUGCCUGAUGGAGGGGGAUAACUACUGGAACCGGUAGCUAAUACCGCAUACCAUCAGAUGUGCCCAGAUGGGAUUCUCUAGUAGGUGGGGUAACGGCCCACCUAGGCGACGAUCCCCAGCUGGUCUAAGAGGAUGACCAGCCACACUGGAACUGAGACACGGUCCAGACUCGUACGGUAGGCAGCAGUAGGGAAUAUUGCUCAAUGAGCGCAAGCCUGAUGCAGCCAUGCGGCGUAUGUGAAGAAGGCCUUCGGGUUGUAAAGCACUUUCAGCGGAGAAUCGUUACCCGCAGAAGAAGCACCGGCUAACUCCGUGCCAGCAGCCGCGGUAAUUC